rnacentral:rRNA from 1 species
GACGAACGCUGGCGGCGUGCUUAACACAUGCAAGUCGAACGGAAAGGCCCUGCUCUUGUGGGGUGCUCGAGUGGCGAACGGGAGAGUAACACGUGAGUAACCUGCCCUUGACUUUGGGAUAACUUCAGGAAACUGGGGCGAAUACCGGAUAGGAGCUCCUGCGGCAGGGUGGGGGUUGGAAAGGUUCGGCGGUUGGGGCGGGGCUUGCGGCUUAUCAGCGUGUUGGUGGGGUAGUGGCUUACCAAGGCUUUGACGGGUAGCCGGCCUGAGAGGGUGACCGGCCCCAUUGGGACUGCGAUACGGCCCAGACUCCUACGGGAGGGCGCAGUGGGGAAUAUUGCGCAGUGGGCGGAAGCCUGAUGCAGCGACGGCGCGUGCGGGAUGACGGCCUUCGGGUUGUAAACCGCUUUCGCCUGUGACGAAGCGUGAGUGACGGUAAUGGGUAAAGAAGCACCGGCUAACUACGUG